AACGGUCUAUACCUGCGGUACCUGCGGAGGGAUCAUUGCAGAAAACAUAUACAAGCCCUUGGGCUGGGUCUGGGGGGCGCUCACACUGGGUGCUUUCUUUUCCCUUUCCUUGGGCAAACAACAACAACAAACAACAUACAUGACUAGGAAACUAGAUUGGAUUGGAUUGACUCGGCGAGGGGUAUAAUAUAACAAAAAGCAGCUUGCCUGAUAAGCAGUAGCCUAUGAUUUGGGUUUGGA
rnacentral:misc_RNA from 1 species